AGCCUGCCCCCUAGCCCAACCCAACUUGACCUAACAAACCCACCAAAAAAUCACCACAAUACCACCAAACUAAAACAUUCUCCUUCCCACCCUAGUAUAGGCGAUAGAAAAGGGACACCUGGCGCAAUAGUAACAACGUACCGUAAGGGACCGAUGAAAUAACAAUGAAACCACAAGCCACAAAUAGCAAAGAUCAACCCUUGUACCUUUUGCAUCAUGAUUCAGCAAGGAACAACCAGGCCAAAAGAAUUUAAGUCUGGCACCCCGAAACCCAAGCGAGCUACUUACAGGCAGCCAUCCUAGGGCGAACCCGUCUCUGUCGCAAAAGAGUGGGACGACCUGUCAGUAGAGGUGAAAAGCCAACCGAGCUGGGUGAUAGCUGGUUGCCUGUGAAAAGAAUCUUAGUUCACCCUUGAUCCAACUCUACGGACAGACACAACCCUAACGAAGCGGACCAAGAGUAAUUUAAAGGGGGUACAGCCCCUUUAAAAAAGAAUACAACCUCAUUAAGCGGAUAACCCAAAACCUUACCCCCUCCCCCCAACUGUGGGCCUUAAAGCAGCCAUCAAUAAAGAAUGCGUCAAAGCUCCUAAAUAAAAAUACAAAAACAAUAAGAUUCCCUUUACCACUAACAGGCUAAUCUAUCAUAAUAGAAGAAUUAAUGCUGAAAUAAGUAACCUGGGGCCCCCCUCUCUAGCGCAAGCUUACAUCAACACAUUAUUAACAGGUACCCUAAUAUCUAAACCAAACAAGCCCACAUAUUGCCAAACACUGUUAACCCAACCCAGGAGCGCCCAACAGAAAGAUUAAACUCCAUAGAAGGAACUAGGCAAACCCAGAGCCCGACUGUUUACCAAAAACAUAGCCUUCAGCCACCCAAGUAUUGAAGGUGAUGCCUGCCCAGUGACACCAAGUUAAACGGCCGCGGUAUCCUAACCGUGCAAAGGUAGCGCAAUCAAUUGUCCCAUAAAUUGAGACUUGUAUGAACGGCUAAACGAGGUUCUAACUGUCUCCUACGGAUAAUCGGUGAAAUUGAUCUCCCCGUGCAAAAGCAGGGAUACUAACAUAAGACGAGAAGACCCUGUGGAACUUAAAAAUCAAUAGCCACCCCCAAACAACCCAACCCUCCACCGGACCUAUUAAUUGUACACUCCUGGCUAAAAUUUUUCGGUUGGGGCGACCUUGGAGUAAAACAGAUCCUCCAAAAACAAGACCUACCCUCUUAAUCAAGAGCCACCUCUCAACAUGCCAAUAGCCACCAGACCCAAUACACUUGAUUAAUGGACCAAGCUACCCCAGGGAUAACAGCGCAAUCCCCUCCAAGAGCCCAUAUCGACGAGGGGGCUUACGACCUCGAUGUUGGAUCAGGACAUCCUAGUGGUGCAGCCGCUACUAAGGGUUCGUUUGUUCAACGAUUAACAGUCCUACGUGAUCUGAGUUCAGACCGGAGCAAUCCAGGUCGGUUUCUAUCUAUGAUAAACUUCCCCUAGUACGAAAGGACCGGAGAAGUAGGGCCAAUACACCAAGCACGCCCUCUCUUUAAAUGAUGAACCCAACUAAAUCAUAAAAAGAAUAACCACCUUGCCCUAGACAAGGGCAUUC
rnacentral:rRNA from 1 species